rnacentral:lncRNA from 1 species
CUGUCAGCAAGAAGCUCGAAGCUCAUGAUGUUUUCCCAAGGGACAGCCCACACAUUCAUCUGUCUUUAAUAAAAGCAAAUCUGCCCGGCUGUAUCGGCUGAUGUACUGUGCUUGCCUUGGAACAACAAUCAUGUGUUGUUUUUUUUUCAGUGGGAGGGUUUUCAAGAUUUAUGGGUGUGCUGAGAAAACAUGGGAGGAAUCUGCCUGGAGGGCUGAUGGAUCUCCAUGGAAUGAAAGAUGUACUCAAUGAAGUGCAUUUAUACACACUGUCCUUGGCUUGCAGUGCAGCUUUCCAAGGACAGUUGGAAGAUGUUCAGACACUAUUACUGAAGCACAGAAGAGAGGGAAAAUUAAACAAGGUCCAUAAAGCAGCUCUGAAGUUCAACAGCAGAAAUCCCUGCUUCUUGGCUUUCUCAAGGAAUUCACAUCCUGAUCCAGCAACAUUAAAGCAAGAAUCUGUUUUG